GUGCUCACUGCAGCGGCACAUAUACUAACAUUGGAAUGAUACAGAGAAGAUUAGCAGGACCCCUGUACAAGGAUGACACACAAAUUCGUGAAGUGUUCUGUAUUUUC
ensembl:snRNA U6 U6 spliceosomal RNA